rnacentral:rRNA from 2 species
AGUCUGAUGGAGCAACGCCGCGUGAGUGAAGAAGGCUUUCGGGUCGUAAAACUCUGUUGUUGGAGAAGAAUGGUAGGCAGAGUAACUGUUGUCGGCCUGACGGUAUCCAACCAGAAAGCCACGGCUAACUACGUGCCAGCAGCCGCGGUAAUACGUAGGUGGCAAGCGUUAUCCGGAUUUAUUGGGCGUAAAGCGAGCGCAGGCGGUUUUUUAAGUCUGAUGUGAAAGCCCUCGGCUUAACCGAGGAAGUGCAUCGGAAACUGGGAAACUUGAGUGCAGAAGAGGACAGUGGAACUCCAUGUGUAGCGGUGAAAUGCGUAGAUAUAUGGAAGAACACCAGUGGCGAAGGCGGCUGUCUGGUCUGUAACUGACGCUGAGGCUCGAAAGCAUGGGUAGCGAACAGGAUUAGAUACCCUGGUAGUCCAUGCCGUAAACGAUGAAUGCUAGGUGUUGGAGGGUUUCCGCCCUUCAGUGCCGCAGCUAACGCAUUAAGCAUUCCGCCUGGGGAGUACGACCGCAAGGUUGAAACUCAAAGGAAUUGACGGGGGCCCGCACAAGCGGUGGAGCAUGUGGUUUAAUUCGAAGCAACGCGA